CUAUUUUCAGGGAGACAUGAGGGGACCAGGAUUGCUAGAUGGUGGUUUUAACCCUUUAGGGUGAGGAAUACACCUUUGUUCCUGACCCUAUAGUGCUCCUUUAAAGUGUUAGUGCUUUGAUGUAUACACUGACAAUGCAUUUCACAUUUUAAUUUUUCUCUGAGGUUGUGCUUUUGUAGAGACCAACAUUUAUACAAAAUACAGAUUAAGG